rfam:Schistosoma curassoni strain Dakar, Senegal genome assembly, scaffold: SCTD_scaffold0009221
AUUUAGCUGAUGAGUCCCAAAUACGACGAAAAGCUAUUCCUAGAU